AGUUCUUCUAGGCUAGCUUUGUGUGCGUAUCCCUUUGCUUCGUAUUAUGAUAUAGUUUACCGUACCUUUUCCUCAAGUGCCGGCAUUUGUGCGAACUUUCUUUCUAGUGCUUGCAUUCGUUUAACUGCCAUAGGGUAGCUAUCGGGGAAAUUUGGAGUCAGAAUUCCAAAGCAGCCCUGUUUCGAAGCGAUUACCUUGCUCGACGCGUUUUGUUGUUUCUUUUAAUAUGCGAUUCGCUCGUCUUUCUUCUUCUGUGUCCAGUUUCUCAUUUGUAACUUUCGUGCAGUAAUCCUCUACCGUGAAGUAGUCUCGCAACAUGUCGUUGACUUCUUUGGUACAAUCUGACUGGGGUGCAACAUGAAAGUUUACUAUCGCUGCUGGUGCCUUGUUUUUUGCACUUCCUCCGUAGAUCGACCAACCUAGUCGACAUAGCGCAGCGAUUGGCUCGGGUGGCCGUCCUUCGCGAAUUUUCAAUGGCACACCAAGCCGGAUAUAGUCCAAUCCGAUCAACAGUUGAGGUUGUGCGCGUGUGUAAUUCUGCAGUGGUAGCCCUUUCAAGUGCGAGUAUCGUUCUUGUAGUACGUCAUAUUUUAGCGUUUGUGUUGGAAGCAUAAGUUGGCUGACUGUUCUCACGUUUUCCAGUCCGUACUUAAUGUUUUUAUCUCUCCCGGAUAUUUGCAGGCAUAUUAUUUCUGAGCCGGGCUCUUUCCUUGUCACUUGUCCUGUCCACUGUAGGGUCAAUGGUGUUUUUUUGCCAUGCACGUUCAACUUUUGGGCUAUCGUUUCAUCGAUUAAUGAGUAUGACGAACCCUCAUCUACGAAAGCAUAAAUUGUUAGUGAAGUGUUAUCAUGGUGCAGGGUAACGGGUAGUAUUGUGAAUAAUGGACUUAUAGCAUUUACCUCAUUUGUGUGUGAUGCGCAUGCGCUUACGGCUUCAUCGGUUGCUACUGUUGGAUGGAGCAACUGGUGGUGCUUCAGGCGACAUCCAUCCACCCCGCAACCUUGCCAGGAUUUACAAGGCCAUUUACCAUGGUUAUUUAGACACGUCCUGCAUAGUGACUUGGUAUUUAUAAAUUUCCAACGUUCAUCCACAUUGGCGGCUUUUAACUGCUCGCAUUCGUAAACACGAUGACCUUCACGUUGGCAUACUGCACAUUGUCUCCUUUGUGUUGCACUAGGAGGACGAUAUGAGGACGUUGACCUUUCGUUUGGUGUUUCAUCUUCAACAUUCAUUCUUACGUGUGUGUUUAAGGCGACCGUAUGUUUUUUUCUUCUUUCUCCUAUUCUAGUUAUUUCGUGUAGGUCAUUCGUAACUGCACAUGCACGUUUUGCCAGUUGUGAGACAUAAUUACUAAAGCCUUCUAGUCCUUCUAUUGCCUUCUCUUCUUGAUAGGCGGCCCAAUUCAACUUCAUAUCACCUGGUAAUUUUUCUUCGAGCUCUUCCAAUAGAGUUGGGUUAUUUAGAUGCGCGUUUAGUUUAGCUGCUUUCAUAUGAUUAGUAAGAGCUCUUACCGAUAAACCAAAUUCUAUCACUGUUCUCAUUCUAUCCGGUCUCGGCGGUGACAUGUAGCGGAGUUAAGGAGCGAACGAAUAAGUAGGCUCGGUUUACCAUAUAUCAUUUUGAGCGUUUCGAGUAUAUCGGGCACAUUCUCUUUCAAAGUAAGUUGAUCUUUCACUAGCUCGAGCGCGUUUCCUUCGAGGCAUCUUUGUAGCCGUAUUAAAUUUUCCGCAUUACUAAACCCACAAGUUUGCGAUGUUUCUUCGAAGGUACUAAAAAAUAGCGGCCAAUCUUCCGGGUCACCACUAAAGUAGGAAACUUCUUUACCAAGUACGUGACGUGCGGCUAUCUGUCUCCCUGAUAGAUCCAAUUGUUCUUUCACUCGUUCCUCCACCAUGGUAUUUUCGUUCGUUCUCUUUCUGGCACUCGAUGUUACAAAGGGCUGUAAAUUCGUUAGCAUCGAGCUGGCGCAAGCGACAGCUUUCUCCCUUUCCUUUUCUCCAGGCGUUUCUUCACUCUUUCUAAGCCAGCACACUACCUUCUCACUAUAGCUCUCCUGUGAACCCAGGUUGCUGGCGCGAGAUUGUUGCAACAGCAGCACGCGCUUUUUCUCGAGUGAUUCACGACGUACGCUGUUUUCGAGAGCAUUCAUCUCCGCUUCGGCUUUAAGCUCUCUCUCCCGAAGAAGACUUUCUUCCUCAGCCAGCUUUCUCUUUUCUUCUAGUUGGCGGGCUAACUCUGCAUUCUCGCGGCGUUUCAGCUCUCGCUUCUCUUCUAUUUCGCGUUCUCUUAAACGUUUUUCUUCUUCAACCAGCUUAAGCUGCUCUUUCACGUUCACUGAGAGAAGAGUGGAAGGUACACUUCCUUGCGCAAUCCUCUUGCUCCUUUUAGUAGAAGCCACUGACCCUUUCUUGGACCGCACUGAAGGCUUUAAACUGGCUGUGUCCCGAUCGUCACGAAAUUUAGCAGCUGUGGUUUCCUGCUUCACUUUGCACUUCGAGCAUACAUACCUCGAUGCUGGAUCUUUCAUCUCCACGAACAGUCCUGCACACUCAGCAUGCUCCCAUUUCGUACACAAGCAGCAUUUUUCCAUCGUGGCUUGCUCUUCUUCGGGUCGGUUGCACAGCUGGCACUUCGGUGUGCUGUCCAUCUUACUUCUUCUCUGAUGCCAGAGAAAAUUUCAGAAAAUGUUGGGAUGAAUUUUCGUUAACCACCUUUGACACGGUUCUGAAACUAUAUUUAAAAUAUUUUAUGACAUACACGAUCACAUUCCAAUUUACUUUUUCACUCACUUUUCUCGUCCCUUCACUAAUCUGAAUAUUUACGCUUCCUUACUAAUCUUCGUCACUCUUGCGGAUUUGUAUUCUGCUCCGUUCUCCUCGCUGGUUGGAUUGCUUCUCCCGACGGUCUACUCUGUCUUUCAUUGCACUUCUCUUGGCGUUCGCUCGGUGAGACUUUCGAACUCAAUCGCCAAGGGUGUUGAACGGUUUCGUCGCAACAUACCCCCACCCCAUAAAUGUUGGGAUGAAUUUUCGUUAACCGCCUUUGACACGGUUCUGAAACUAUAUUUAAAAUAUUUUAUGACAUACACGAUCACAUUCCAAUUUACUUCUUCACUCACUUUUCUCGUCCCUUCACUAAUCUGAAUAUUUACGCUUCCUUACUAAUCUUCGUCACUCUUGCGGAUUUGUAUUCUGCUCCGUUCUCCUCGCUGGUUGGAUUGCUUCUCCCGACGGUCUACUCUGUCUUUCAUUGCACUUCUCUUGGCGUUCGCCCGGUGAGACUUUCGAACUCAAUCGCCAAGGGUGUCGAACGGUUUCGUCGCAACAGCAAUCAAUCAUCAACAGUAGAAAUAGAGCCAGAACAAAGUAUUCCUGUUUUAAGCGCAUCUUCUAUGUCCGGAUCUCAUUUGCAGUUUCUACCAAGAUCGCGAAAUAACUCGUUCGAAGAUUAUUUUGAUUCUAUCGACAACCUCACUAACGUUCUCCCGUCACCUGAAAUUUCUACGAAUUCUCCAAAACCACAGCAACAGAAUACCCCUUCCAGUAGUAUUUCGAACAACCACCCCGUUCAGUGCAGCAAUGCUAUAACAAAACGUGAUGUAGAGCUCAUCCAUACUAAACUAGACUGCUUCUACUGCUUGAUAGAAAAUUUGUUACUGAAAUCACGUGGUUCGGUAGAACAAAUAAGGGCGAGAAAAAAUUUGCAUUUUCAAAUUACACAAAUAUUAAAAAAUUGUUUGUUGAUAUUGCUGGCACAAUGUUCAAACAGCCAACGGAACAGUUCGUUUAUGAAUACUUGGGUCAAAAAUUUAGACAUGCUAGCAAUCGUGUAAAUAUUCUUGGAAAACGAACUACUACUCCUCAUAAUGUUAAACGAAAGAUAUAGAUUUUUUUUAUGACAUGAAUGUCGUUUAGUUUAAUAAGAUUUGGGAAUUAUACUAUUAUUUAAGUAUUUUCCAAAGGUUGCCAGGUCAGAAAAGAGACGAUAAAGAAAACAUAUUCGAAUGUGAUACACAGAUGAAAACAAGGU